AGGGGCCCAGGCGACUGGGGGAUUCUGAGGCAACGCCGAGGGCUCGGCAGGGCCGCGGACACCGCCGCGGCUUGGUUUGUUAUUGUCGACUCCGUCUCUUCCUCCGCGGCGCAUGCCGGGAAACGGCCUGCCGGGGGAGGGGCGCGCCUGGAGGCGCAGAGAGGCGUCUACGCAGGUCCGGAAGUCGGCAGCCUGCCGGGAAGGGGGCGGCCCCGCCUCCGGCUCUCCGGCCGGCAGGUUGGCUGUCCUGGCCUGACCCUGGGAGACUCCGCUGGGGCCGCCUGUUAUGGUGCUAGCUGCCGUCCCGGUGCGUACUUUCCCAAGGUGAAUUUGACCUUCUUUGCGACAGCUAGGCCCUGACUAAGGUCGACCCACCAAACACUGGAUCGUCCCCAGGCGAAAGAGAGCUUGUUCCCCUCAGCCUGUCGCGGAGGAGCGGAGCCAAUCGAGGGUCUGGUGUCCCCGUCGCCUCUCCAGGGGCAACCUGCGGACUAGGCCAAGGUCUGUAACAGGAUAACGUACCAGCGCCUGGCCCAGGCGUUCCUGCCGCCACCUCCCCGCAUAUCCGGACCGCCGGGACUGCACGCAGCUGGCAAGCGUCCCCCUGUUAACUCUGCAAGGGUGGGGCGGCACCAUUUCUCAGACCAGGGCAGACCAGAACAGUGGGUGAUUUUCCUCCUGCCAUUUUCUUGGGACAGUGAAAAGUGGAGAAGAGAAUGUUUAAAUUGUUGCCUGCUGGGGACACAUCGCACUCCUCAAUUUGGGUGGUGCCAACCGCUGUUGGAAUUAGUUAUCUAGCUGAAAUUUUGUCUUUCAAAGGACUAGUGCAUCACUCUGCUGCAAAGCUUGGAAAAGCUCUGAUAGCCUCAAGUCUCUGCUCUGCUUUUGUGGUGGAGCCUUGGACAGACGUGGAAUUAAGGAUCCCGUCCAGGAUCCCACAUUCCAUGUAGUCACUGCCUCCUUAGGCUCCUCCUGGCUGUGACAGUUUCUCAGAUUUCCCUUGUUUCUAAUGAUUGUGGCAGUUUUGAAGAGCACCGGUCAGGUUGAUUUUAGUGCAUUUGAGCUACAAUCAUAUUUUAUUAUCUGGAAAAUGCCUCGAAGACAUCUGUGGAUCUACAAACUUCCAGGGCUACUCUCUGCAUACAAAGGAGGCAUGAACAGGCCUUUCUACUCAGAAGUGGACUAAGGUUCCCUCCACCUAAGGCAAACUGCCCGGGGCAACUGCCCAGCAUGGAAAGCUUUGGUCUUCACGGUCUUGACUUUUUACCAGCAUCUCUGAAGCCCCAAAGUCACAUAAGAAUUUAUUUGACUGAAAAUUAUUUAAGAACUUUAUGUGUUAAUUUUCCUUAUAAAGUGAAAGUUGAUCACUUUCUUUUCCCAUAUGUCCUUUGCCCAGACACAACUUAUUGUUACUCUGUUUUCAAUAUCGAAGCAAGAAAUGGAAUUCAUUGUGAGCCUGCCCCAGUGCUAUUCAGACUCAUUCUAUCCAGGGAGCAACUUCACUCCAUAAUUUGUGUAGAUACAGUUACUUACCUACCCACUCUCUAGUACAUAACUCCCCAUACACACCCACGGACUUCUUCCCCUAGGGAACUAGUCAGUGGUGUGUCUCCCUUUACCAGGCAAGUGCAUGAAAUCAGUGCAUGAUGUGCUGGUCAAUGUGGUGAUCUUUUCCCCUCUUUUAACCUGGGGAAGAGAGUUUAUGGCAGAAACCACAGCUUUAAUCCACACAUCUUUGUGUACCAACCUCAGUGUUCUACAAGGCAGAGAAGAGAAUGGGUCCAGCGAUUCCUCCUGAGCAGUUGUCACGGAAAUCUCUUGCUCUCCUUUGGGAAGAUGAGUUUUACUCUCAAUGAUGCAUUGAUACUCACCAUUAUUACAAGGACUAGUGAACAAGAACUUGUUAUGUGCCAGCACUGUGCUAUGCUUCACUCAAGCCAGUUAAUUCCUGCACUCUCCUGCAUUACUGAAUGAUUUUUCUUUUCUUCUGAAUGGUAGUUUUUAAAUGUAGGACUACUGUUUCUUCAUCAUUUGAGUUUGGGAAUUAGGCCUCAAAUGAGGCAGCUUAUGAAAUCUGCUUUGGAGGUCAGGGGUCUUCUCCAUAGUGGAAAACAUCUACCUGACCCUUUUUAGGCCCCAAACUCCUCUCCAGGGUGUAGUGAAUGCAUGGCACUGGCAUCCCUCCUGUAAAUGGAGGGGCUUAGAUCUCUGGAGGAAACUUCUGGGCUAGUAUGUGGCUACCACGAGAAUGGCUACAAGUGGGAAUAAAAGGGCUUUGAUCACCUUAGUCUUGAGUUCCAGGCAGUUUUUCUGGGCCAUGUCACUGAUCAAGCAUGGUGACAUCAAAGUAAGGUAUUUUCCUUUUUU
rnacentral:lncRNA from 1 species